rnacentral:rRNA from 1 species
UACGGGGGGGGCAAGCGUUGUUCGGAAUUACUGGGCGUAAAGGGCUCGUAGGUGGCCAACUAAGUCAGACGUGAAAUCCCUCGGCUUAACCGGGGAACUGCGUCUGAUACUGGAUGGCUUGAGUUCGGGAGAGGGAUGCGGAAUUCCAGGUGUAGCGGUGAAAUGCGUAGAUAUCAGGAAGAACACCCGUGGCGAAAGCGGCUCUCUGGAACGGUACUGACGCUGAGACGCGAAAGCGUGGGGAGCGAACAGG